rnacentral:rRNA from 1 species
AUUGAACGCUGGCGGAAUGCUUUACACAUGCAAGUCGAACGGUAGAGGGGGCAACCCCUUGAGAGUGGCGAACGGGUGAGUAAUAUAUCGGAACGUGCCCAGUCGUGGGGAUAACGUAGCGAAAGUUACGCUAAUACCGCAUACGAUCUAAGGAUGAAAGCGGGGGAUCGCAAGACCUCGCGCGAUUGGAGCGGCCGAUAUCAGAUUAGGUAGUUGGUGAGGUAAAGGCUCACCAAGCCGACGAUCUGUAGCUGGUCUGAGAGGACGACCAGCCACACUGGGACUGAGACACGGUCCAGACUCCUACGGGAGGCAGCAGUGGGGAAUUUUGGACAAUGGGCGAAAGCCUGAUCCAGCAAUGCCGCGUGAGUGAAGAAGGCCUCGGUGU